UACGUAGGGUGCGAGCGUUUAAUCGGAAUUACGUGGGCGUAAAGCGUGCGCAGGCGGUUCGUUGUGUCGGUGGUGAAAUCCCCGGGCUUAACCUGGGAAUGGCCAUGGAAACUGGCGAACUGGAGUGUGGCAGAGGGGGGUGGAAUUCCGCGUGUAGCAGUGAAAUGCGUAGAGAUGCGGAGGAACACCGAUGGCGAAGGCAGCCCCUGGGCUAGCACUGACGCUCAGGCACGAAAGCGUGGGGAGCAAACAGGA
rnacentral:rRNA from 1 species